rnacentral:misc_RNA from 1 species
AGCGCGCCCCGAGCUGAGUGGAGCUCUUUUUCUGUUAUUGCGAUGUACUAAAUUUCCUAUCAAUGGUGAAUGGUGGAAAGCAAUAACAGAAAAAAGCGGGAACGGAGCGCGGAUAUAGGC